GGAGGGUACAGCUCAGUGGUAGAGCACAUGCUUAACAUGCAUGAGGUCCUGGGUUUAAUCCCCAGUCUCUCCU
rnacentral:tRNA from 1 species